UACGGGGGGGGGCAAGCGUUGUUCGGAAUUACUGGGCGUAAAGGGCGCGUAGGCGGCCUGCUAAGUCGAACGUGAAAUCCCCUGGGCUCAACCCAGGAACUGCGUCCGAUACUGGUUGGCUUGAAUCCGGGAGAGGGAUGUGGAAUUCCAGGUGUAACGGUGAAAUGCGUAGAUAUCUGGAGGAACACCGGUGGCGAAGGCGACAUCCUGGACCGGUAUUGACGCUGAGGCGCGAAAGCCAGGGGAGUAAACGGG
rnacentral:rRNA from 1 species